UGGGGAAUUUUGCACAAUGGGGGAAACCCUGAUGCAGCGACGCCGCGUGAUUUAGAAGGCCUUCGGGUUGUAAAAAUCUUUUCUAUGGGAAGAAAAUGACAGUACCAUAGGAAUAAGGACCGGCUAAUUACGUGCCAGCAGCCGCGGUAAUACGUAAGGUCCGAGCGUUGUCCGGAAUCAUUGGGCGUAAAGGGUACGUAGGCGGGUAAGCACGUUAGAAGUGAAAUCCUGUAGCUCAACUACAGUAAGCUUUUAAAACUGCUCAUCUUGAGAUAUGGAAGGGAAAGUGGAAUUCCUAGUGUAGCGGUGAAAUGCGAGGAUAUUAGGAGGAAUACCGGUGGCGAAGGCGACUUUCUGGUCUGUAACUGACGCUGAUGUGCGAAAGCGUGGGGAUCAAACAGG
rnacentral:rRNA from 1 species